rnacentral:misc_RNA from 1 species
AAGUCGUAACAAGGUUUCCGUAGGUGAACCUGCGGAAGGAUCAUUCGUCUAUGAGAAUAGCAAAGAGUGGAGUCUCCUUGGGGCUUCACUUGGCGCUUUCAAAUAUAGUAACACUGUGAAAACAACCAACAAAUGGUGACUCUGCAGCGUUGGCGCCGGCUCUCACUUUGUGAUCCGACGCCAAUGCAACGCGAGCACAGGGGCUUUAUUUAACCAAUUAUAUAUUGAAUGCCUAAAAACAAACAAUUUAUACAACCUUUAACAAUGGAUCUCUUGGCUCCU